GGUGGGAGCGCAAGUGUCCUGCUCACCGUGGGCUUGGUGCAGAUAACACCAGUCUGUUCAAGAUACAGCUCUGCAAGGAAAGCCCUGGCCUCUUGUAGGGUGUGAGGAGGAGGUCGGCAAAGCGGCUGCAUAGAAGCCAUGCCGCUGCUCAAACUCCCUUUCGAGUUGCAGGGCAGGCGUGAAGGGGACAGCAGGGCAGUGUGCGCAGGGGAAACGGAGAAGGAGCUGGGCUGCCCUCUCCUUCCCCCUAAGGCCGCCUGGCCUCCAACCCCCGGGAUCCUGAGGUUCUCUCUGCCAGAGAAUAAAGGGAAAGCGCCCACACUUCAACCAGGACCACGGCCGGGGCUGGGGGGCCAGGGGGAAUCUAAGAAACACCCCCGCGGACGAGUUUCUGGGCAGGGAAGUGGACCGGGAACAGCGCAUUUCCUGCUUCGCCGGAGCAAACCCCAGGCGGAGCCAAGCGGGAACAGUUACGACCGAGGAGUCGCCAGCUGCCUGGGCGCGGUUCGCGGGCGGCCUCGGGGGUCCGCGUACUGGGCAGGGAUCCGGCGGACCCAGGGCGCAACCGGGGCGAAAGGGCGUGAGAGCAAACCGCGCCUCGCGUCCCCGCGCGCAGCAGGCGUCCCCAGAGCCCCCGCGCGUCGCGCUUUUUCGAGCCCCGCACAGCCUGGGGGCGCGCGGUUAGGGCCGAGAGCAAGGGAUACCAUUGUCUAUUCUUCGGCGGCCUUCUCGGCGAUUUCCCCGGGCCUGCGGCGCGCACUCCCUCCCCGCCCCCAAGGACUGGCUCUCGGGAGCCGACCCGGAUCUGUCUGGGUGCCCACCGCCUUCCCUAACGACUUGAAAGUCCUCCGUCCGGCUCCCGCUUCCCGAGCAUCGGAAACACAAAAGCCUGCAGGAAGUCACCCAGUCUUUGCCUGCUCCUCCGGGGGCCCGGAGAAGUGCGCGGCUCCGACUCCCCGGGUCUGAGCCGCAGCUCGGCACCUACCCGGGUUAAUUUCUGCGCCCGCCCGCCAAAGGCCUCAAGUGGCAGCGGGCACAGCCUCCUGCUGCGCUAGUCGCUUCCUUGCCCAGCCUUGCGAGCCUCGAGUCUGGCCUGGGGACCGUGAGUGCACUUAGGAGCCAGGAACCCAGGGACCCUGGGCUGCGCAGGGCAGACGCACCGAGCGGCUCCAGGAGCGGGUGUACAAGGCUCUGACUCGCGAAACUUGUUUGUCGUCGCCCCCCCGCGCCCCCCCCCGUGCCCCCCCCCCGUGCCCCCGCGUAAAUCUCUCGUGUUGAGAAAAGCAAGGCUUGCAGGAAACCACUCCGGAUGUUUGCUGCUUUUCAUGUGGCAUUUGUGGCUGGCUCUGAUAACGUCUAGAGCUCGACUUCCAACACCGCGUUUAGUAAAGAGACCGAAAUAGAAGAGUCUACACACACCACGGACUGCGCUGCGGCGCCGCAGCCCCCAACACCCUCCCCCCAAAAUACAUGACAGGUGGAUGAUCAGAAGAAAUUAGCUCUAGGUAACGGUAGGUAAGAGGAACCGGUGUUAAAACGGCACCAUAAUUCCCAACUGGCACAUAUAAACUGUUACUUUAUAACUUCCAGGGAAGGCGUUAUAAAAAGUGGGGGAAGGGACGCGAAAUCUGAAGCUCCCACUCCAUUCUAUGGAUGCUGUGCUCUCACCGGACUUCUCAGUAAUCUUACCCAACAAAACUCAAUAGUCUUUCUCCAGGAACACGUGCAAAUAGUAAUGGAGAUCCUCCAGGCUGCCUUCCCCAUCAGUUUCUCCCUGGAACGGUGUGGGCCAGGAAGAACACGAGGACGAAGAAAGUGCACGAGGGCAAAUCCAUGCAUAUGCAUAUUUUGGACUCACACUUCGAUUGAAUUUCUUGUACCCUAUUUUAUUUUACUUUUUUUUUUUUUUACAGAAGCUAUCAAAUAGAUUAAUAUAGGCAGAUAAUAGAUUCUGGAACAGGAAUAGUUUUUGUUUGGUUUUGUAUUACUAGUCUAACGAAACUCCUGUUAGUUCAUAAAACUUUGCACUAAUAACAAAAUCUGCUUCGGGAUCUCUGUGGAGAUGUUUAUUACUAUCCAGAAGAAAUAGAGAAGAUCGCCAAGAAAACAAGGAGCAAGGCACUGUGGGUGAAUUUGUUCUUUCUACUCCCGUAUCUCCUUACUUACAUAACCAUUUGAAAUGCAAUUAUGCUUAAUUUUCAAGCCCAUAUUUAUUUUAGAAAACAACAACAACAACAACAAAGCCUUAAAGGAAAGACACACAAUUAGUUAAAUUUAAGAUCAGCUGCUUCAAAACCACCCAUUAAAAAUAACACUUGUCGAUGAUUUUCUUAAGCAGAUUAACAUUUUUUUUUCUGGAUUGAAACUCAGAGACCCAAGAGCUAGAACCACUUAAUUCAUCGUAUAUUUGAAGACUGGCUUGUAACAGGGACGGAGGGCAGCCAGCGCUUCACAGAGCCUCACAGAGGCAAAGUAAAGUUGGCUUCAAACUAAUGAGGAGUUUUUUUGGGGGGAAAUAGCAAUGUCAGAGAAACCGAAGGCCAGAGGUUUCCUAAGGCGUUGUGUUUCUUUGUUUUUAUGGAUGCCACCAAUAAGCAGACUUGAUAGAAUACUUUGUUACUCUAAUUUCACACAAAAAGCUGCAGCAUUUACCUCCCAGAUCCCGGAUGUAAGCCUUAGUUUGUCAUCACACCUUCGCAGUAAACAAAGAAAAUCUGUUCUGGAGAUUGAUGUAUUAAUUUCUUUGCAAAGUUAUGGACUUAGGCAGAAAUGAGUGUUUUAAUUGCCUUAGAAAACAACACAAAUAUACAAACAAAUACACAACGGCUUGGUUUAGUGCUUAGGAGCUCAAAACCAGGGCACGCUACUGGAGAUGAAUUUCACUCCUCAAACUGUGACCUCAGGAAAAUUCCCUAAACACAUUGUAUCUCAGGUUCCCAUCCUGUAAUAUGCAACAGCGUUUGCCUCACAGAACUGUAGGGAUAAACUAGCUAAGUUUGGAGGGCUGUGCCAGGUACAUGCAGUGUGAGGGCUUGUUUAAAAAUCCCACUGAGAAGGUUUCAGAUUUCAGCACGAGUUGAAUACUCUUUCAGAUUUUCAUUUCAGUCUAAGGAAGCGUAUAGAAUCCCAUAAGAGCUACCGCUAACUUUGGUGUGCAAGGGGAUUGCUCUUGCCCCCAUUAGGUGGGCCUUCAGAUAAAUAUUGCUGCUAGUGUUACCACAUUUUAGAAAUCAAAACCGAGUCUUGUGUCUUUUACUGAACACGUAAGUGAAACCUUUUAUGUCUAUCAUACAUUUCAUGCACAAAUUUGCAAGGGUUGCUUCAUCGUGAUGAAUAAAGGUUUUAUUCUUCAGGAUGAAGGAGUA
rnacentral:lncRNA from 1 species